AAAACAAAGCAUCUAAUACGGCCUUUUUGGGCCCAGUUUUGCGCCACUGCAAGAUGAUGGUCGUGUUCCGGGUGCGACUGUGGUCCGCAUUCGAGUGAGUGUCUUUCAUUUUCAUGCAAUUUUUAUGUGCGCUCUAUUCGUUAACGGAGAAUAUGGCAUACAGAUUGGUAUAUGGAAAGUACAGCCGCGGCGCAAAUGUUCUCCGUGGACAAAUCACAGCACAUGUUGACAUUAGCUGCGAAUUAUGGAAAGACAAGUGCAGCAGAAGACGAAGACCGUCGCGGGGAUGGGGGCAGACACAGCGACAGGACGCAGGACAUUGGGACACACUUGAAAAAUACAAAUGACACAUUUUAUUGAUGUUAAUUUAAUGCAAGAAAUAAAACAGGCGGCGCUGCAGCCAAAAUAAAA
rnacentral:misc_RNA from 1 species